rnacentral:rRNA from 4 species
ACCGAGCUUUCGACCGCGACCCCAGGUCAGACGGGAUCACCCGCUGAGUUUAAGCAUAUCAAUAAGCGGAGGA